AUGGUUGGCUGGCUCUGGGACGGCAAGUCUCGGAAGGAGAGAAGGGAGAGGCCAAGAAGGCUCUGUCCAACUAGAGAACUGUGGGACCAGCAGAAAAGUUUCAAGCCUGGGUCACCAGGAGACUCAAAGAGCUGCUGCCGCACGCCCCCCACCCAGGGAGUCUCCCAGUGGAGAACAGGAAGUGCCUGGUGCCUCAGUUCUUCCCUUCAGUGA
rnacentral:lncRNA from 1 species